rnacentral:tRNA from 1 species
GACAGCUUGGCCGAGGGGUUAAGGCGAUAGACUAGAAAUCUAUUGGGGUAACCCGCGUGAGUUCAAAUCUCACAGCUGUCG